rnacentral:rRNA from 1 species
UAUCCUGGCUCAGAUUGAACGCUGGCGGCAUGCCUUACACAUGCAAGUCGAACGGCAGCACGGAGCAAUCCUGGUGGCGAGUGGCGAACGGGUGAGUAAUAUAUCGGAACGUGCCCAGUAGUGGGGGAUAGCCCGGCGAAAGCCGGAUUAAUACCGCAUACGACCUAUGGGUGAAAGCGGGGGAUCGCAAGACCUCGCGCUAUUGGAGCGGCCGAUAUCAGAUUAGCUAGUUGGUGGGGUAAGAGCUCACCAAGGCGACGAUCUGUAGCUGGUCUGAGAGGACGACCAGCCACACUGGGACUGAGACACGGCCCAGACUCCUACGGGAGGCAGCAGUGGGGAAUUUUGGACAAUGGGCGCAAGCCUGAUCCACCGCCAUGCCGCGUGUGGGAAGAAGGCCUUCGGGUUGUAAACCACUUUUGUCAGGGAAGAAACGGCUUUUGAUAAUACCGAGAGCUAAUGACGGUACCUGAAGAAUAAGCACCGGCUAACUACGUG